GACGAACGCUGGCGGCGUGCUUAACACAUGCAAGUCGAACGGAAAGGCCCUGCUUUUGUGGGGUGCUCGAGUGGCGAAAGGGUGAGUAACACGUGAGUAACCUGCCCUUGACUUUGGGAUAACUUCAGGAAACUGGGGCUAAUACCGGAUAGGAGCUCCUGCUGCAUGGUGGGGGUUGGAAAGUUUCGGCGGUUGGGGAUGGACUCGCGGCUUAUCAGCUUGUCGGUGGGGUAGUGGCUUACCAAGGCUUUGACGGGUAGCCGGCCUGAGAGGGUGACCGGCCACAUUGGGACUGAGAUACGGCCCAGACUCCUACGGGAGGCAGCAGUGGGGAAUAGUGCACAAUGGGCGGAAGCCUGAUGCAGCAACGCCGCGUGCGGGAUGACGUCCUUCGGGUUGUAAACCGCUUUCGCCUGUGACGAAGCGUGAGUGACGGUAAUGGGUAAAGAAGCACCGGCUAACUACGUG
rnacentral:rRNA from 1 species